rnacentral:Y_RNA from 1 species
GGCUGGUCCGAGUGCAGUGGUGUUUACAACUAAUUGAUCACAACCAGUUACAGAUUUCUUUGUUCCUUCUCCACUCCCACUACUUCACUUGACUAGCCUUAA